rnacentral:rRNA from 1 species
GAGGAAAGAGGGAGGAGGGAAGAAGAAAGGAAAGUAGAGUGAACAGACGAGGAGCUUGCUCCUCUGACGUUAGCGGCGGACGGGUGAGUAACACGUGGAUAACCUACCUAUAAGACUGGGAUAACUUCGGGAAACCGGAGCUAAUACCGGAUAAUAUAUUGAACCGCAUGGUUCAAUAGUGAAAGACGGUUUUGCUGUCACUUAUAGAUGGAUCCGCGCCGCAUUAGCUAGUUGGUAAGGUAACGGCUUACCAAGGCAACGAUGCGUAGCCGACCUGAGAGGGUGAUCGGCCACACUGGAACUGAGACACGGUCCAGACUCCUACGGGAGGCAGCAGUAGGGAAUCUUCCGCAAUGGGCGAAAGCCUGACGGAGCAACGCCGCGUGAGUGAUGAAGGUCUUCGGAUCGUAAAACUCUGUUAUUAGGGAAGAGCAAAUGUGUAAGUAACUAUGCACGUCUUGACGGUACCUAAUCAGAAAGCCACGGCUAACUACGUA